ACUCCAAACAACUUGUGUAGGAAAGCGUAAACUAUCGUUGAACGUUCUCCAUGACAACUGGUAUUUAAAAGAAGAAAACUUGAUAUAAAAAGGCACUGCUGAAGAGAUAUUGAAAACUAUAAUUAAUUUCAACAUGACGUUUGUACCAAUUCUAGUUGCUCUGAUUGGCUUAGUCCUAUACUCAAACCCCGUAGCUGCUGAACCGAAAAUGUACAAACAAGGAGGAACCCAUGGAAAGUAGUCGGAUUUUGAGAAGAAGAUUAAAUUGUCUGGAAUUUUUAAUUUUUAUGGAUUUCAAAUAAACUUUUGGUUUGACUAAAAAUA